ACGGGAGGCAGCAGUGGGGAAUAUUGCACAAUGGGGGAAACCCUGAUGCAGCGACGCCGCGUGAGUGAAGAAGUAUUUCGGUAUGUAAAGCUCUAUCAGCAGGGAAGAUAAUGACGGUACCUGACUAAGAAGCCCCGGCUAACUACGUGCCAGCAGCCGCGGUAAUACGUAGGGGGCAAGCGUUAUCCGGAUUUACUGGGUGUAAAGGGAGCGUAGACGGCAUAGCAAGUCUGAAGUGAAAAUCCAGAGCUCAACUCUGGAACUGCUUUGGAAACUGCCAGGCUAGAGUGCAGGAGGGGCAAGCGGAAUUCCUAGUGUAGCGGUGAAAUGCGUAGAUAUUAGGAGGAACACCGGUGGCGAAGGCGGCUUGCUGGACUGUAACUGACGUUGAGGCUCGAAAGCGUGGGGAGCAAACAGGAUUAGAUACCCUGGUA
rnacentral:rRNA from 2 species